rnacentral:rRNA from 1 species
AUUGAACGCUGGCGGCAUGCUUUACACAUGCAAGUCGAACGGUAACAGGCCGCAAGGUGCUGACGAGUGGCGAACGGGUGAGUAAUGCAUCGGAACGUGCCCAGUCGUGGGGGAUAACUACUCGAAAGAGUAGCUAAUACCGCAUACGAUCUAUGGAUGAAAGCGGGGGACCGUAAGGCCUCGCGCGAUUGGAGCGGCCGAUGUCAGAUUAGGUAGUUGGUGGGGUAAAGGCUCACCAAGCCAACGAUCUGUAGCUGGUCUGAGAGGACGACCAGCCACACUGGGACUGAGACACGGCCCAGACUCCUACGGGAGGCAGCAGUGGGGAAUUUUGGACAAUGGGCGCAAGCCUGAUCCAGCAAUGCCGCGGGCAGGAAGAAGGCCUUCGGGUUGUAAACUGCUUUUGUACGGAACGAAACGGCUCUGGUUAAGACCCGGGGCUAAUGACGGUACCGUAAGAAUAGGCACCGGCUAACUACGU